UGUAAGCUGGAAAGAGUCAAAACAAGAAAACAAAUUUAAAAACUAAAAAAAAAUUAAAAAAAAAAAAAGUUGCUUAGAAUUAACAAUUCUAUAACAUACUUUUAAAAGUUAAUUGAAAAGUGAACAACAUCUGUAAUUGAUGACAGUUUAAUAUGCUUUAUUUAAUACAAGUCUGUGUGUUUUUUGUGAGAUAACCAUGUAUUUCUCUUUAAAUAUAUCUUCAUGUGUCCAUAGAAAUGCAGAAAUGACUGGUUAAAUGCCAAUCUGAGGCAGUAUAACUGGAACCUGUUUGCUCAAACGUCUCACACUCCUGCGUGUAAGAGUCUUAAUUUCAAUUCUUUUGAAUGCACCAUAAGAUAAAAUCUGUAAAUCAUGUAAUUGGUAUGUUAAUUUGAACACAUUCAGCAUAUAUGACUUCUAAUUAGGGAUGGGCGAAUUUUUUCGCCGAAAAAAUGACGCCCAUAGACUUGUAUGGUGUUGUGUGUCAAAAUAAAAAAGGCGCGCGUCAAAACAAUUUCGCCGCGUGACAGUUUUAUCAGCGAAUGUUUGGCGAAACCAAACAGGACAAAUUCGCCCAUCCCUAUUUCUAAUUUAAUUGUUGCAUGUAUUUAUUAAGUGUUGUAGUAUUUAUUUACAAUUCCAUCUCAGUGUUGUGCUUUCGCAGUGCAUUAAUAUCGUAACGAAUAGCUGCACAAUCCACCUAAAUUAAUUUAUAUGAUGAAGCAAAUCCAGCCAGGAAUCCAGCACCCACGUAUCACAACAGCUUGGGGAGCUGCAGAUGGCUUGUUUCUAGUGGGACCAUCCUGUUGAGCACAGCAAGUGAGAUGUAAAGAGACGUUCCAACAGAUUUGGUGGUGGGGGAAGUCCUUCCAGAGAAAAGUCUUUACCUUCUCACUGUUGCAGACAUUUCUACAGAUAUUUCUUGGCAGCGUCUCUAUGCACCAACGGCAGAGCAAUAAGGCAGUUUUGUGUCAGUAGAUUUCUCUAGUUCAGCUUCUUGGGACAAUCAAGUACAGAAUAUUACCAAUAUGGUACUUAAGAAGGAG